rnacentral:rRNA from 1 species
UACGUAGGGGGCAAGCGUUGUCCGGAUUUAUUGGGCGUAAAGCGCUCGCAGGUGGUUCGUUGCGUCGUGCGUGAAAGACCCCGGCUCAACUGGGGGAGGUCGUGCGAUACGGGCGAACUGGAGGCCAGUAGGGGGAUGCGGAAUUCCGGGUGUAGUGGUGGAAUGCGCGGAUAUCAGGAGGAACACCAAUUGCGAAGGCAGCUCGCUGGGACGUUACUGACGCUGAGACGCGAAAGCGUGGGGAGCAAACAGG